CUCAUCACAACUGGACUGUAUGCCUGAAACCAUAACGAGCCAAGUACCUCCCUCAGAGUUCACAGUAAAUCCACGGAGGAGAGGAAGAAACUGCAAAGAACUUGCCAGAUAACAAUAAAGAACCCGAGGAAAUGUCAAUCUGCUCCGGGAUGCUCCAAAAAUGGGAAAAGAAGCAAGAUUUGCUGAAUAAACAAUUAUUCUCUGAGCUCCAGGAGCCAAAUAAAAGGAGGGAGAAGGAUCCAGAAUAUGUCACAAGUAAUAGAAGGUAUGAUGAUAUUGGCACAGGAGGAGCGUAUUUACUAGGAGGGAUGACAAAGAGGAUCUGUCUCCUUACUGGCAUUUUUCUGGGACAGAACAAGAGCAACUGCUAUUGUUCUGCAGCCUACAAAUGAGUUCUGGGAACCCAAGGAUGGCGUGAAAAUCCAGAGGAGGGGAAGCGGUGCACCAGGAAAGGGCAGAGCAAGAGGUCUGAUAUGGGUGACAGAGGCUCCAAGGUCCUCUGGAAAUGUGGCGCCUGAGUAACCCUGACGCACCAGCUGUGCUCAGAUGCAGUGGCACUUCAAAGCAACGAGUUCAAAACAUGUUUAUAACCCUCAGGUACUGAGUGACUGUGAUUUCACAUGCCUGUAAUAAGCAGUAGGUACUGUUAGACCGUGGUGAACAGAAACAAUGUUGUUUCAUUGUUUGUUUCCCUUUUGUUUGCCGGCUGCUAUACACAUACUACGAGUUGAGGGUCUCCACUAUCUGCUUCUGCUCUGGCCAUGAAGAAACCAGCAAACACAUUAGAAACUGUGUUACUUACUGCAAAGGUUAACCUAAAGAGAUGAUCCAGCUCGAACUCCUUUGUGGGUAGCCUAGAUAGUUUACAAAGGGAGACAAAUGUGAGUUGGCAAGACCUGAGGUAUCUUAGAAAAGCAUUUCUGAAGUUUCCACAAGACUGAUGUGUGAUAAAUGUCUGUUCAAGAUGGAGUGAUUUAAAAAUACCAAAUAGCAAGGAAAAAAAAAAAAAAAAGAUGAUUGGAGCAAUCUAUUUUAAUUAUGCUUCAUAUUUGUAGUUAUUUCCAAAACCCCCUCAAAAUUACCAGAAAACAAAACUAAACAAAACUAAAAAGGUUGCUUCCUGUUAGCUGGGAAUUGAAGCAUCCUGAUUUGAAACUAAAUAUAGCCCUUCCGCUAAAUUUGGUAAGUUUUUGCUAGCCUGGGCUCUCUGCACAUGUAAAUAGAACAAUCUAAUCGCUCGCAAUUAUUCAGAUCCAUAAUUUGCAUUUAGUUAUGUUAGAAAAUAGUGAAUGGCUUUGCUUAUUUACAUGAUAAUUAUUUUUUGCUCCCCUUUGAUUUGUGUCAAGCUAUUUUGGGAUGAGAAUUGGAAUUCAAUUAAGAUGCAGAAAGCCAGCGUUUUAAUUCUGCUUUUUAUUAGAUAAUGAAGCCACACAGUAGCUGUGCAGGAUAUACAAGGCAAGUUGAUCAAAACUGAUUAGGCAAGGAAAGGACAUAUUAUCUGUAGGUAGUGAAUUGAAUUGUUUCUUUUUGGUCAAUAUGUCUUACGAGGUUUUAGAACUAAUGGGUCUCAGCCUUUCAAGCCUCAUUUAGAGUGAGACCAAAGAAGAAAAUCAAGUCUUCCUCGGUUUUCCAGCUUGCUAUGAACUGUGUAGCGCUGAUCAGAACAUUAGGUAUCGAAUCAAAAAAUACUAAUAAUGAAUAAACGGAACAAAACCUCCUAGAAUAGCCAGAAAGGGCUGCAAAUUGUAAGGAA